rnacentral:guide_RNA from 1 species
AUAUUAUGUACAACAAACUAUAUAUCUGGUCUGUAAUUAGAUGUAGAGA